rnacentral:ncRNA from 1 species
CUCUAAUAUUUAUUCGAGAUUAUAUAUUUUAAGGAAUAUAUACAGUGGAGUAUUAGAUAUUAAAGAGAUUUAUUCCUUCCUAAUUUAGGUAAAUAUGAAUCAUUAAAAUAUGUGUUAGUAGUUUAUAAUGAAUAUACGUAU